UACGUAGGGCGCAAGCGUUAUCCGGAAUUAUUGGGCGUAAAGGGUGCGUAGGCGGUUUGGUAAGUCUUGUGUGAAAUCUCCAGGCUCAACUUGGAGUCUGCACGAGAAACUGCCGGGCUUGAGUGUGGGAGAGGUGAGUGGAAUUCCCGGUGUAGCGGUGAAAUGCGUAGAGAUCGGGAGGAACAUCAGUGGCGAAGGCGGCCAUCUGGGACAACACUGACGCUGAAGCACGAAAGCGUGGGGAGCAAACAGG
rnacentral:rRNA from 1 species